UACGUAUGGGGCAAGCGUUAUCCGGAUUUAUUGGGCGUAAAGAGCGCGUAGGCGGAUCGUUAAGUCAGGUGUGAAAUCCGGGGGCUCAACCCGCGGCCUGCAUCUGAAACUGGCGGUCUUGAGUCUGGUAGAGGAAAGUGGAAUUCCUAGUGUAGCGGUGAAAUGCGCAGAUAUUAGGAGGAACACCAGUGGCGAAGGCGGCUUUCUGGGCCACGACUGACGCUGAGGCGCGAAAGCUAGGGGAGCAAACAGG
rnacentral:rRNA from 1 species